CUGGACAUUCGUGGACAACUCUAUUUUAGCGGUUGGAGAUUCAUCUGGGUACAUCACGCUAUGGAACCUGCUACCCAGAGAUGUUUUUCGUAUUCUGAAAGAAGUGAAAGCGCAUCAGAUUGAAGUCCGCUGUUUGUUGCUUCUUCGCGAAGGAACAGUCGUUUCUGGAGGUGGAAAUCAGCUGAAAGCUUGGGAUGCGGAACAGAAUCUACUCCCUCUGACCAUAUCAAACCUGCCAGAAGGUAACGUACAAGUCUUGUGCAGUCAUGGCUCAGCUGAUGUUUCUCUUUAUGUUGGCACCCCCCAUUCCAUCCUAGAGGGAUCACUUCAG